GACGAACGCUGGCGGCGUGCUUAACACAUGCAAGUCGAACGGUAAGGCCCCAGCUUGCUGGGGUACACGAGUGGCGAACGGGUGAGUAACACGUGGGUGACCUGCCCCGCACUUCGGGAUAAGCCUGGGAAACUGGGUCUAAUACCGGAUCCGACCGCACUGUGAGGGGGUGGUGGAAAGUUUUUCGGUGUGGGAUGGGCCCGCGGCCUAUCAGCUUGUUGGUGGGGUAAUGGCCUACCAAGGCGGCGACGGGUAGCCGGCCUGAGAGGGUGGACGGCCACAUUGGGACUGAGACACGGCCCAGACUCCUACGGGAGGCAGCAGUGGGGAAUAUUGCACAAUGGGCGGAAGCCUGAUGCAGCGACGCCGCGUGGGGGAUGACGGCCUUCGGGUUGUAAACUCCUUUCACCAUCGACGAAGGUUUUCUGACGGUAGAUGGAGAAGAAGCACCGGCUAACUACGUG
rnacentral:rRNA from 1 species